UGGGGUGUAGCCAAGCGGUAAGGCAGCGGCUUUUGAUGCCGCCAUGCGCUGGUUCGAAUCCAGCCACCCCAGCCA
rnacentral:tRNA from 1 species